rnacentral:rRNA from 1 species
CCCUGGCUCAGAGUGAACGCUGGCGGCAGGCCUAACACAUGCAAGUCGAACGGCAGCACAGCAGUAGCAAUACUGUGGGUGGCGAGUGGCGGACGGGUGAGGAAUGCAUCGGAAUCUGCCUAUUUGUGGGGGAUAACGUAGGGAAACUUACGCUAAUACCGCAUACGUCCUACGGGAGAAAGUGGGGGACCUUCGGGCCUCACGCAGAUAGAUGAGCCGAUGCCGGAUUAGCUAGUUGGCGGGGUAAAGGCCCACCAAGGCGACGAUCCGUAGCUGGUCUGAGAGGAUGAUCAGCCACACUGGAACUGAGACACGGUCCAGACUCCUACGGGAGGCAGCAGUGGGGAAUAUUGGACAAUGGGCGCAAGCCUGAUCCAGCCAUGCCGCGUGUGUGAAGAAGGCCUUCGGGUUGUAAAGCACUUUUGUCCGGAAAGAAAAGCUUCGGGUUAAUAACCCGGGGUUAUGACGGUACCGGAAGAAUAAGCACCGGCUAA